AGUGGCGGACGGGUGAGUAACACGUAAGAAUUUGCCUUUAGGAGGGGGACAACAACUAGAAAUGGUUGCUAAUACCCCAUAUGCUUUCGAGUGAAAUGGAUUUUUCCGCCUAGAGAGAAGCUUGCGGCUGAUUAGCUUGUUGGUGAGGUAAUGGCUCACCAAGGCGACGAUCAGUAUCUGGUUUGAGAGGACGAUCAGACACACUGGAACUGAGACACGGUCCAGACUCCUACGGGAGGCAGCAGUGGGAAUUUUCCGCAAUGGGCGAAAGCCUGACGGAGCAAUACCGCGUGAGGGAUGACGGCCUAUGGGUUGUAAACCUCUUUUUUCAGGGAGGAAUCAAUGACGUGUACCUGAAGAAUAAGCAUCGGCUAACUCCGUGCCAGCAGCCGCGGUAAGACGGGGGAUGCAAGUGUUAUCCGGAAUCACUGGGCGUAAAGCGUCUGUAGGUGGUCCAAUAAGUCAACUGUUAAAUCUUGAGGCUCAACCUCAAAAUCGCAGUCGAAACUAUUAGACUAGAGUAUAGUAGGGGUAAAGGGAAUUUCCAGUGGAGCGGUGAAAUGCGUAGAGAUUGGAAAGAACACCGAUGGCGAAGGCACUUUACUGGGCUAUUACUAACACUCAGAGACGAAAGCUAGGGUAGCAAAUGGGAUUAGAUACCCCAGUAGUCCUAGCCGUAAACAAUGGAUACUAGAUGUUG
rnacentral:rRNA from 1 species